rnacentral:rRNA from 1 species
UGCCAGCAGCCGCGGUAAUACGGAGGGGGUUAGCGUUGUUUGGAAUUACUGGGCGUAAAGCGUACGUAGGCGGAUUAUUAAGUGAGGGGUGAAAUCCCAGGGCUCAACCCCGGAACUGCCUUUGAUACUGGUAGUCUAGAGUUCGAGAGAGGUGAGUGUAAUUCCGAGUGUAGAGGUGAAAUUCGUAGAUAUUCGGAGGAACACCAGUGGCGAAGGCGGCUCACUGGCUCGAUACUGACGCUGAGGUGCGAAAGCGUGGGGAGCAAACAGGAUUAGAUA